UUCAGCAAGUUAAAGUAUAUUUUUAAUGUGAGGUUUAGCAAAUCAGUGCUUUUAAUGAAUACUAUGCCGUGGAUACCACAAGACGUGAUAACACCGGAAGUCUCCGUGUGAAACCUUUACAGGUGGCCUUUCUGUGUCUUUUUGCUUCUGUUUUGUUGUAUUCUUCUUUCUUUUUUCUCUUUUUACACUGUUCAGGAUCAAACCCAGGGCUUGGCACAUGCCAAAUCCUCUUCUAAGCAUUUCUGGUAUCCAAAUUGAUUACAUAUGUAAAAAAAAAUAACUGAAAUGUUCAUAACUUUUGACCUUGUAACAUCUGCCUUCAUACAAGAGCAGCACAUUUAUACACAUAUAUGUAAAUAUCUGCAUAAUAAAAUCAAGGAGAAAAAGGUGAGACCUAGAGGGAAUGUCUGCUAAACAGACGGCGCUGUCCAGGCAGUCCAGCUGUUUCUGGGCUGACGUGAAGUUAUAAGCAUUAAACAGGUCCAUAUAAAUGCGGGGAGUGGGGUCCCCAUGAAUUAUUUUUAUAUGAGAAAGAUUUCAAGGCAAUUAAAAGCCUUAGAAAAGUAGUUAUCUAUCAGUUUUUCCUCUGUAAACCAGGUCCUCGCCUUCGCUCUUCCAUAACUGGUGUAAAAUGUUUGCCUCCGGCUAAACUUGCGUAAUGAGCUCUUCCGGUGCUAUAAAACAAAUGCUUCAUUGUAAUACAUAGAAGAAUGGGCCACUGGGGUGCAGCUGGAAUAGCUCAGUUGGGAGAGUGUUAGACUGAAGAUGUAAAGGUCCCUGGUUCAAUCCUGGGUUUCGGCAGUGGUUUUAUAAACCUCACAGCUGCUCUGCACUUUGGAAAUAAUCCCGAGUUGCUCAGUCACUUUCUGGGCGUUACCUCUCCCACACUCGGUGCUUCUUUUAAACUCCUGAGUGGAAGUCAGCUAAGCUCCCUGGGUUUGGGUCUGACGGUCCCCUCCCUGCGGACCCCAGGAUCGAGGUCUGCUCUGCAGGGCGCUGUAGGGUUCGGCCGACCCAGACCCUGGCCAUAGCUCAGGGGCUGUGCCUGGCCCAGGAAACCUGCUCACUUCCUUCCCCAAGCAGACCUAUCCGAUUUCGGAUCCUCAAAGCCUCACAGCGUGCAAAGCAAUCUGCUUCCAUCACCUACCUGUCUGUGCCUGGGAAGGAUGAGCCCAAGGGCAGAAUCACCAGGGGACCCCCAGCAGGAGCCCUCAUCUGUCACCAGGAGCUGUCCACACCCCUGUGGGGUUCAGGUGGAGCACAGGGCAGUCUGGAGGCCCCGGACUGGAGCCUAAUUUUUAAAACUAGCAAAGGACAGCAAAGCAACUUUGUAAGACGCUGGGCCGCCCCCUCAGGGGAUGCGACAGACACACACUUGGCUGCGGCAGCUCCUUGGGUUUGGCCAGGCCAGGCAGGAGGAACCUUGGGGAGAGUGGUGAGAUCCGGGUCUCAAAGGCAAAAGGGAGACUGACGCUUUGCAGCCCCCUCCUGUUCAUCCGCUAAGCUGCCUACCGAGGAGGGGCUCCAUCCUCUACAGGCUUUGGUUCUUGGGUGGACAGAUGCGUUUUAUUAGGGGGUUUGGGGAAAAUCCAGCGAUGAACAAAAGCAAGGAAACCAAGAUGGUGGCCAAAUACGUGGACAGUGCGGCUCUGAGCGACGGUCGGCCUGAGGUCCUGGGCGUUUCAUGAGCAUGCGUGGUCGGACUGCAGCAACCAGUUGCUUGGUCUAGAAGUUCUUGGGGAGGUAUCUGCUUUUAAAGAUUUGAUGAGCAUUUGCAUCAGCAGGCUUUGAGGACAUGUGGUUAUUGGAAGCCCCGGAGGGCAAAGCUCUGGCGAGGAAGAAGGCUCUCUCAGAACUCAGACAGGAAGAGCGCCUGGGUCUCCAGCUCCAUGCCCCGUGGAAUGCGGAAUGGACUGCCGCAUCAGCUCACUUAGAUUGCAGAUUGCUAAACCUGCUCCACAGGUUUUGAACCUCUCCACCUCCACAAUUGUUUAGACCAAGUUCUUAAAAUCCAUCCGUCUCUAAGUCUGUUUUCUUCUCUAUCUCUUACGGCUGGAAUCCAAAUGUCCCCCCAAAGCCCCGUAGUGCAGGGGGUCCUGUUGUGGCCAGUGGAAUUCUGAGUAACUGAAUGGAUCUGAGGCUCCACCUCACCACGUGGGUCACUUCGUGGUAGAUUAAUAGCUCAGUGGGCUCACUGGGCAGUGCAGCCUAGUUGGAUGAGGUGGGCACUGCGUGCGGUUGUCUUCGAAGGGUACAUCUCGACCCUCCAGCUGGGCUGCAGCGUACCUCGAGGCCCUCCCUGGCUCUUCCGUGCUCCGCUUCCCGGCUGCCCUGAGGUAACAGCUUUCCGCUCUGAAGGAAUCCAGCGGCCGCACCCUGAUCCCAGUUGUCUCUAACCCGCCACUCUCAGCACGACCGAAUCUGGAACCGACACCACCAGCCCUGCUAUUGAUAGCAGCUGGGCUCCUGUUACCCCUUUCGCUCUCUCAGGCUCACUCUUGUCAGGAAGCUGCAACCCUUUUCAGUGAACUCCACCCUCCUACAAAAGAGCCCACAGCCUGGAGGAGGGCAGCGGUCUGGUCUCCAGGGCCAGAGCCUCCCUCUCGCGUUUGUUCUGCAGUAAACCCGUCCUGUGAGCUCAUACCCGUUUCUUUUCCUUUUUCCUAACACUUUCCCAUGGCCUUUUAAAAAAGCACAACAUUUAUUGAUGCAUUUUAGAUAUACAUAAGGACAACAUCCAUCUAGGGAAUCUGGCCCUGUGCAUGAUGCAUCUCGCUUCUACUUUUUUUCUCCCAUGCCCUUCUGCCACAAUGUUUCAGUGGACUGAAACAUCUGAAACCAUGCGCCAAAAUAAAUCUUUUCUAUAGUUGGAUAAAUGUACUUACAGGCUAUGGUUUCUGUUUCCCGGGAGUCCCACCGAAUAGGCUACCUGUACCUCACUGGUCCUGUUUCUGGGGAAGCCGGAUAGCGUGUUUUACCCAGGAAGGGGGGAGCGAGACUGCACUGCUGCCCUCAGCCUCGAGAUCGUCCACCUCGGCCUCACGGGGGGAGUCGCCCCCGGAAACCUGGGCCUUUGCCCUCGAAGCCCUAGCCGUUCUCAGCGCGGAGCGGAGUCGCAGCGAGGCGUGCUGGGGCUGCCGGAGGCCGCAGGUCCCGGGCCGAGUCAUCUGGCUGUCCCUGGAAACCCGAGGUUUUCCUUGGCGUCGUCAUCGCGCCCCAAAUUUUGUUUUCUGACGAUGCCGUACAAACUGGAGUUCCAAGCCCUCCGCGUCUUUAAGAAUGACUCAUUUCCUGGCAUCUCCCUUUCUGUACAUGAGACACACGUUCAUACACUUGUUUUUCUCUUUCUAUUCUUUUAUUACGAGAGUCAGGUGCUGGGAGGAAGGAGGGCAAGGGAACAGAAAGGGAGGUGACAUCCAGCUAGCCCGGGAAGAGCACAGGCCCGAAAGCCGGAGGUGUCCGGGUGCGUCCUGGGGCGGACCGAGGCCCCAGCUGCGCGUGCGCGGGGCCGGCUAUGGGCGGGGCGAGGGAGGCCGAGAGGCCGGCCGUGGGUGGGGUGUGGCCGAGGGCGUACCCUUCGGUGGGCGUGACCGGGAUCGCUUCACUCCUUGUCCGUUUCUCGGCUUGCGGACUGGGACGUGGCUGCCCUCGGGUCCCGGCCUUGGCCGUGCGCUGCGGCUGGGACCCUUGGCUCCUCCUGCUCGCGGCCGGGCGGGGCGCAGCCUCAUCUUUCGGGGCGGGGUCUCAGCGUCCAGAUCUGCAUCCGCAGCCCGGCCCAGAUGGGUGCCUCCCCUCGCUGGCUGCGUGUAGUCCCUCUGCGCGGCUCGCGGCUUCGGAACCGAGGGGAUCGCGGGCGGGGCGGGGUCCAGAAUCCACCGGGAAGGCGUCUGCAGGUUCGCAGAGAAGCGGAGCACUCUUAAGGCACUGGAGCAGAAGAACACGUUGUGAGCCCGGGUAGCUCAGUCGGCACGUGCAAGGAAGCGUUCGUCCCUGCCGAAAUAGCUCAGUUGGGAGAGCGUCAGACUGAAGAUUAAAAGGUCCUAGGUUCGGUCCCAGGUCUCGGCAGGUUGCCGGUGCCCCCGCAGCGACAGACGCGAAGCCGGCCCCCAACAUGGGUCUUUCCCCGGAUUCACAGGCGGCCAGGGCCUUAGCCCUGGCUUCUCCUGAGCUCCGUGGUUUAAUACUUGCGGACGCGAAGCAGCACAUCCUGACAACAGGCCACGGGGCAUUGGUUUUUUGAACAGAAAAGUACUGCAUGUCAGUUCAUAGGGAAAACUGAUACAAAGCAAUCUGCAAAGCCGGCUGCGUCUCGCCCCAUCUCUGAACUCCCAGCCUGGGCCCAGCCGGGUUUCCCCCAACACCCGGGGCUCGCUCGGGACUCCGGAAAAGCGAGUGUGGAUUUUAAAAUAGGCUUCGCCCAAACAGGGACUCGAACCCUGGACUCUCAGAUUAAAAGUUUGAUGCUCUAUCGACUGAGCUCCCCGGGCCCUGCGGGCCGGUACCGCCCUCCGCCUGUCUGGCAAAGGCGCCACGGAAGGGCUGUGAUCCUGCGAGGCGAGGGCCGGAUCCACCGCGACCCCCCGGCCCCCGGGUCUCUUAAGCGCUUGCCCCGCCUUCUCCGAGGCAGGCGGGACACGCUAUCUGUCAGGUUAUCCCGCGCUUUGGGAUUCCCCGGUUCCACUCAGAUCGGAGCUUCUCAGGCUGGGAUUUCUGAGCGUUCAGCGGAGAAACGUGCAAAGCACCCACGUCCUCAGUGCUGCAAGGUUCUGGAGGAAGCGGUAGAUGUUGGAAAAUCACAGCAAACGCGCUGCGUCCUCCCCCUCCCUCCCGGCCUUGCAGCCGCGUUCGGGCCGUCCCGUCUCCCCGGAGGUACCUGAGGACCGAGCCCGGUGGUCCCGGCGCCGCCUUGGUUCCUCCGCGCCGCCCGCGGGGCCACCCGAAGCCUCUCGCAGCGCCGGCCCCUCCUCAGUCCUCCCGCGCGUCCGCCCGCAGGCCGGCCGGCUCCUCCUCCCGCCCCUCGGGCCUUUGCGCGGCGGCGCAGCAACAUCGGUGGAGAGGAUCGGGUCUGCUUUCGGUGGACGCUGCCUUCGCUCCUUCCCAGCCGUGGAUUCUCAAGUCGUCCCGCAUUCUCUGCUCUGGCGAAAAGGAACUGUCUGGGGUUCAGAUUCAGACCCAGAUCCCGGCGUCUGCGCACCUAAAGUCCCAACAGGGAACGCCGAAGGGCGAACACAGAGCCGCCAGAAGUGGGGUUCGAACCCGCGCACCCCAGAGACCACGGAGCCCUAAGUCCGACGCUCUAACCAUUCGGCCACCCCGGCACCCUGCCGGAUGGCGUUUUCCUUCCGGGCGACUCGGGCAACACGGACUGAAGUUUCCGAACAGCUCGGGAUGGAUUCGGAUCGCGAGCGUUGCAUGGAAACAGAACGAGCAAAGCCACGCUCAGCCCGCGUCUCCUCGAUCGCAUCUCGUGGAUCUCUGGGUUCAGUACCCAGAAACCGGAGCCCCGGGAAAGCGAUGGAGGAGCCUCGGGAGGGGGCCCGACGCGCCGGAGCGACCGCCUUUGUCCCCAACCAGGGCGCGGCCGAGUGCGGAUUAAAGGCUUCUGUCACUUUAAUUUUCUUUAUCCGACUUCAUCAAAACAAAAGCGACUCUGGUGGGACUCGAACCCACAACCUUUGAAUGUCUUUGUUUGUCUAGAAGUCCAAUGCGCUAUCCAUUGCGCCACAGAGCCAGAUGCUUGGAGGUUGCCCCGAGCCGCCUACAGCUCCGUGGCGGGCGCGCGUUCUCGCCCCGGGAGCCGCGCCGGGCGGGCGAGGAGCAGGAGCAUGAGCGGCAGCGGCGGGGGAAGCCGGGCACGGGCGGCUCGGUCCCGGCGGGCGCAGGCCGAGGGCUGCGCGCGGGGUUAUUACGCCCGGAGGCGGCCGGCCACCGCGCGGUUCCAUAGUGUAGCGGUUAUCACGUCUGCUUUACACGCAGAAGGUCCUGGGUUCGAGCCCCAGUGGAACCACGGGCGGCCCCGCUGGUAUUUUGAGGGUGCUCGGGGCUCCUUUUGCGAGCUAGGGGUGCUGGGUUUUGUCCCGGGAUAUGGAGGUGCAGCCGGGUGCUCUGCCCGAGGCGUCCGCCUGCGAUUGCACCCCGCGUCCGACCCGCGCAGGGCGUCACCGGGCGCCCGUUAAAUGACCAGAUUCCGGUCCACUUUCCGCGCGCGGUUCCAUAGUGUAGCGGUUAUCACGUCUGCUUUACACGCAGAAGGUCCUGGGUUCGAGCCCCAGUGGAACCAGGGCGUGGGCUUUGUCCCUUUUAGGGAAAAAUCACCCAUUUAGGGCGAAAGUUAGCUUUUGCGAGCCAGAGUUCGCCACGUCCAGCUGGAGACGCGCGAGUCGUCCUCUCCGCUGCCUUCGGCGCUCGCAGCCGGCCUGUACCGGCCCGGUUCUCGGGGCGCUCGGGCCUCCCGUGGCUCACGGCUGCCCCCGCGUGGCGGCUCCGCGGAGGUGCAGCCGGGCCCCCUGCGCCUGCGCAGUUCGGCGGCCAGCCUUCCCGCGGUGCUCGCUCGCGUCCCCGAUUCCGCGCGGGCCGGCCUGGAAGCCGGAAGUCACGUCCGCGGCCUCGCUUUCCGACAGCUCGAAGUACGUUACGGGCAAGCCAACCCCACGCACAGAGGGUACGGGGCGCGCCGGGUCUCCCGGGGGGCUCCCUCGUCCAGUGCUCUCUGGCUUUCUGUGUAGAUUCACAUGCAGGACAUUUGCACAACUUUUUCUUUUCCUCUUCGGUUUCCGCGCGGGGCCCAGAGCGCCAGGCUGCGCCCGCGCGUGCUGGCCUCGAGCUCCGGGCCCGCUCAGGACGAGGCCGCUCUGCGUCCCGCGGGCGUGCAGCCUUUCAGGGUCCCCCUCACCCUUCACCGCUGUUUCGGGAGCGGGCAGGGGCCUUGCAGUUCCUUGCUUGGAAAAAUCCUGCCCCACUCUGAGUCGUAUCCCGGGACCCGAGGUCGUGUUGCAGGACCGUGCUGUCUCCCCCGGUGACGGUCUGGUGACAGCUUUCCAGGUGCUUAGGGCUCUGCCGCCUCCGGGUCGGGCGUCUGCGGCUCUGGCUAGGGAACCGCUCCGGGCUGAGCACCUGGGUCUGCCUGCUGGGCCUCUCCAGGGUGUCUCCUGCCUCAGCCUCAGCGGACCUUCUCCUUGGGUGCAGAUCUGUGCCCCCAUCCCCACCCCACUGGCAAGGGCGCCACCCCACGGCCACAUUGGAUUUUUUUGUGUGUGUGCUCAAAAUAAAUUUUGUUUUAUUUUGUGUUUACUUUUCUUUGAAAGUUUUUUAUUAGUAUGUAUUUGCGGUAUGUAGUGAUUACAUCCAUCGUGGGAAUAGACACGUG
ensembl:lncRNA